UACAUGAAUCUUAAAUUUUAUUUUUUGAUUUCUUCUAGCACAAUUUUUAACAGUGGCAUAAUAGAUUACAUUAUUUUUUAAACUGCUCAAAUUACAUCUUAUUUUUUAAAAGGACUGUUUAGUGUUUUAAGCAAAAUAGAGAAACUAUAAAAGGGAAUAAGGAUUUUUUAAAAAAAUAGAAAUCCUUAAUUAUCGCAUAUUAGCGAAUAAGAUUCUUGCAGUGACCAAGCAUAUUGUGUGUUCAAAAAAGACAAUUUUUAUUCCAACAAGUGCAUUAAUCAAAUUACUGCACAAUUAGUAAUUGUACAAAAAUAUAAUGCUUUAACAAAAUAUUACAAUUUUGAAUUGUUCAACGAAUAUUUGUCUCAAUGCAUUUGUAAAAUGGUUAUUAGAUUUUAAAUAUUUAAUCUUUAUAUUAAAAUGUCAUUGAAGAAUAACAAUGUGGUAUAUUUUUAUUACCGAGAAAUUUUUUAUUUCGGCAAUAAUGGCUAAACUGAAGAACAUCACACCCAAAAAAAGAUGACAAUAGACUAUAUAUAUAUAUGCUUUUUGCGGUUGUCCAUUUUAAUCAACGCUUGGCUGUGGAGAUACAUUCGGCCGCUUUCAGCUAUAGUCGACACUCGUACCGCGGAGAUAUUAUAUCAAAUACAAAUAUUAUAUCACAAUUCAAGAAUAAACAAAUUAGAAUUAAAAGUUUUAUCAUUAUACAAAUUAGUCUACAUUCUAUAUAAUGGAAACUGCUUGAUAGAUAAUGGAAAUUGUUUCUAAAUAUUACAUGGUUUAACAACACUGUUGUGCAAUAAAUAACGAUCAUGUUGCUGGUAACCACGAAAUCGAUAAGAAUGAUUAAACAUGAGAGAGCAUGGGAUAACUUGAUACAACGCGUGUGUGUAUGCGAAUAGUGAAACAAGGAAGAAGACCUAAUUGAGUGAAAGCUAAGGUCAAAAGGCCAAUAAACGUUCUCGGACGAGCCGAUAAGCUGCAUAAUAGCAAAAUACCAAUUGCAUUUCUCUACUUUUCUCUUUCUUAUUCGAUAUCUACGAUAUCACGCUACCUAUACAAUCAAUCAGGGACAUGGAUUGAUUUUCAAUCGCAGAAGUGCUUCAGGCUUGCUAAGUUACAUGAAUUUAAGUCUUUUUAUUUCAAGGGAUAUUCAAUGGAAAAUGACGUUGACGAAAAUGGUAAAAUAUGCGUGUAAAAUGUUAAUUAUAAUUGAAAUUAUAGAAAAAGAACAUAAUAUGUCUUUGAUGGGAGGGUAUAAGAGAAAAGUCUUUGUAAUUAAAUAUGUAUCAGAUAAAAAUAGCUACUAAUUAAGCUUGACAUAUUUGACAAGAAAAUUCAAUAAAUGGGCUCGAUAAUUAUUGUCCAUUGUUUGAAAUAUUAAUCGUAAAAUGCGUGACUUUCAAUGUAUCAUUUUCAAUGAUUCUUUAAUCUAAUUUGACAUAGUUUCCAUGUUUCAUGUUUGUUUCAUCAUUAUAAUUAGCGUUAGUAUCUCACAAUUGAAUUUCGAUCUAUUUAAUGACCAAACACCGAAGAAAGUAUAAGAGAGUGAUUUUUCUCGAUUUCUAUAAUCUCUUUUUAAUUAUUCGAGAGAUAUAAUAGAAUAUUGGAAAGUGUAGUAUCCGCUAAAGUUCAUGCUAUUGUUAAUUACAUUUAAGUUUCCCUGUGUAAUUUUUUGUUGUAUCAAUCAACUUCAUUAGAAAAACAGAAAUGCUUUAAAUUAA